rnacentral:rRNA from 1 species
AUGCGCUCCAAGGCGGCGCCUUCAGGAAGGAUACGACGCCGGAGCGCCGCUACCGCCCGAUCCAAGGAUCAGAGUUUCCCCCGAAGCCGCAUGACGGGCAAUGAGAGCCGUGACGAUGCCUUCAAGAAGGGAACGAUCUUCGCCGCCGCCGGUCCGUCCGAAGAUAGAGCAGAUUUUCACCUCGGCCAACAUUCACCGCCACCGAACGCCACACCCCGGCAACCACGCCGCCCACACGACCAUGGUGACCGGGCAGCACCAAGGCACGGGCUCUGCCCAAGAGCACCGCGCAACCACCACUAG